UCGCUGCUCCUCCGGUGACCCUCGCGAGCGGCGCGACCGGAUGGGGCACGAACCCUAGCGGCGCGGUCGGAUGGGUAACGGACCCUAGCGGCGUGGCCGGAUGGGGCACGGGCGCCAGCGGUGGAGCUGGUUGGGGUGCGGCGGCCAACAGGCAUGAGAUUCAAUCGUGAACGAUGAUUAAUCGGGCCAUUAAUGCCAAUCGACGCUCCGGGAAGCUGGUCCUUUCCUACUCUGCUCAGUUUCGCAAACCACAGUCCAAAAGCAAGGUGAUGGGUGUUGCUUAGGUUCCAGCUCUGUUUGGUUUAAGAUUCUCUCCAGGUUGGAAUUCUAGCGACGUACUGCUUGGUAUCUUUGGUUCUUCCAGUUGAUCCAACGGCUAAUGGACAACCCAGACUGGCCGCUGCUCCUUUCCCAAUCUCCUCACUCUUGCAAACCAAUCUCCAGCAGCGAUGGGUGAUGUUCAGGUGUUCUGUUGGAUUAGAAAGUUUAGGAAUUAACCAUUUGGAAGAUUCUAAUGCUUGGAUGCUCGAUACAAGGUCGAAUUCAAGCUAUGUACUGCUGGUUUCCUUUCUUUCCUCCACGGCGACCUGAUACGGCCCAUACGGGCUGCAAGGAGGCUCCAGAGUUACCACUACCAUUGGUCCUCCCUGCCAUUUGCUGAAUUAUGCUUCAUCGCAUAUUAGCCAGAAUUCGUGGCUGUUGUUCUAUAAUCGUAAUCGAUCAAGCCACUUCCCAGUGCUUAUGUAAUCUUUGUACUGGUAGGAACUAGGAAUUUGGAAAAACAAAUCAGUACUACUAAUUUACCGUGGAGCCGUGACAACAUCGUGCUUUGUUUAUUCACUUUUAAAAGUUAAACUUAAACUGGCAAAGUGGUUACUGUUUUAUUUCAUCCCUGUUAGUCAAAGCUCAUGUAAUGUGACUUGCCAAGUUUCUGUUGAAUGUAUUGUUUAAAAAGAAAGAUCCGAAGGACUGAUUAUUUGGCAUCAAAUUAAGUACUGUCCUGCAUGAACUUUGUCAUGUUUACCCUCUUCUAUAUUUUUUAUAUGCUUUACCAACUAUAUCUCCUGAUGUUAUAAGUAUUACCUUUGUAGGCUGAUACUAUUACAGUGAAGACAUAGAACAUGAAUUAUAGAAGUUAUUGAGCAAGGAGUGAGGCAGAUUUUGCAGAAAGAAACACCUAACAUCCAACAGCUGACAGCAUCAUAAGCAUUGUUUCCCCUUACCAAUAACGGUGCCAUGUAAAGGGACUAGCUACACCUACUGAUUAAUAAUACAAAGAUUAAGAUUCCCUGGGAGUUGGGAUUGCAUCUUUAUUUUGCGGCCACUUCAGUUCUUUGCUUUGAUAUGGCAGGAUUGGUCAUCUGAUAACCCUAAAAGGACAAUGCUGCAAGGAGAAACAUCAGUAUGAGCUGCAAGGACAAGAUGCCCACCCAGCCUGUGCUGGCAGCAACCUGACUUCGUUGUCAACAACUUGAUGAGGACCAAAUCGACUUCAGAUUAUUUCUAGAAGAUGCUAUAUACAAAUCCUUUCUCUGCAAUUUUUUGCCUCACACAACUUUCACCCUUUUCAAGCCAACGCCGUCGGCCAGUACAACCACUUCCUCCUCCUUCAUUUAUCUCUCUCUUGCUGACUGCCUUCCUGCUUCCUUCAGGCAGAUUCAUGAUGCACACAUGAGCAAAGUCAAAUUUAAUCGCACCCAGAAGAUGGCGGCAAGCACAUUUGGCUGCCGGGACAAGAAAUAGUUUAUCCGUCACUGCCAUUUGCAUUAUCCAUGCCUGUUGAUGUGGUUGAUACUUACAGCAAGUACUCGCUCAUCCUCUCACUGAAUCUAUAGUUUUAUCUUCCUAGCUGUUUAUGGCUGAAACUGGGGAUUACGUAUUACAAGCUCGCAGUUAUGUACUGCUGGAGAAGGAAAAAUUAGUCAGUGGCUGCUGUUGAUGCUCAUGCCCUUUUGCCGGAAAUAGUAACAACAACAGCAGUCACCUUGGGUAAUUUCUCUUACCCAAUAUAUUUACAGUUGUCUCUCUAAGCUAUUUAUGUGUCAAAUUCAGGACGAGGCAAGGUAGACCUCAGAACUAUGUAUGACGUUUCUUUACUGAUGCAGUUUAUGGCUGAAACUGGGGAUUACGUAUUACAAGCGUGCCUCACAGUUAUGUACUGCUGGAGAAGGAAUAAUUAGUCAGUGG